rnacentral:lncRNA from 1 species
CGGAUCCCCUGGCACUGGAGAUACAGAUGGUUGUGAGUCAUGACGUGGGUGCUGGGAACUGACCCCAGCUCCUCUGGAAGAGCAGCCAGCGCUCCUCACCACUGAUCCAUCUCCCCAGGCUCAAGACUUGGGUUGUGUUGAAACACGGUCUUGUGAUGUAACUUAGGCUGGUCUCCAACUAGUAGUCCUCCUGUCUCAGCCUUCUCAGGAGCUAGGGUCAUAGAUGGGUGUCAAUUAGGGACAAUUUAAAAGAUAUAACCUGGAAUUUUCUCUUUACUGUUUCUGUUUUUACUCUCUCUGUUGAGGAAGGAUGCAGAGGCUCAGAGCCCUACCUGUGGGACUUGAGAACUCCUGCCCCUAGCUAGGGUCUCCUGUCUCUGGGUCAGGGAUGGCAGUCUCAGGGUCCUGCCAGAUGCAGGUCAACGCAGAGACAGUUUGUCUUCUUUCCCUUGGAAAGUAGGGCACAGAAGAGAGUGGAUGAGGAAGGAGCCUGGAAGAGGAGGCAGCGACAUGCUGCUGGGUGAGGGCAGAGUGCUGCCUAGGCUGUGGGGAAGGCCUGCCAGAGGUGGAGUGACUCCUGUGCUGGACAGAGACACCCGGACAACAGGAGCCACGGGCAAGUGUUUAUUAACUGCAGGGGGGUAGUCUACACAGUAGGCUUCCACACUCCUGGCUGGGACCUGGCCGGGGCUGGCUGCUACUGUCCAGGUCUUCAUCAGGAGGGGCGGGGAGCCAGGGUUCUAGGAGGAGGCUGGAGUGAGCUUGAGGGCACCCUGGAAUGGAAGGGGAGUCAAGCUGGUUAGUUUUCCUUCUCCUUUGCUUUGGUUUUCACUUCCUGCUUUUUUGGGGUUGCCCUACCGUUGUCCUCCAUGAAGGAAGACCUGGUGUGGGGGAACACACUUGUGCAGAGCACAUAACAGGAUCAAAUGAAGGGUUUGUAUGUGAACAGUAGUAUCUUCCAGCAAUCUGUGGCCAGGCAAAGUAUUCGUGUGCAGUGGCUGGAUUGUGUAGGACAGUUGUUCCCAAACCCACAAUAGAAUGCAAAGAAAUCUUAUAAAAGUAGAUUCCUGGCUGUCUCCAGAGAGACCUGG